AGGGGCUUAGGAUAAAACUAAACCAGUGGCCUUCAAAGCCUCAAACAAGAGUAAUGCUCUUAGCCUCUG
rnacentral:tRNA from 1 species